GCAUCAGUGGUUUAGUGGUAAAGUGAGUUCUCCAAAACAUCUUCUGAUCAUAAAACAAAAAUUCUAACCUGUAUGAAGAUCCAUCGUUGCCAGAGGAUCUCUUCGAGCCUUAAAUUCGAUGGGCCCCGUGUUCGAUUCACGGCUGAUGCA